rnacentral:rRNA from 1 species
AGCGAACGCUGGCGGCAUGCCUAACACAUGCAAGUCGCACGGGGGGGCUUCGGCCUCCCAGUGGCGGACGGGUGAGGAACGCGUAGGGACCUGUCGAGGGGUGGGGGAUAACCGCGGGAAACUGCGGCUAAUACCGCAUGACGCCGCGGCGUGACAGCCGGGGCCAAAGGCGAAAGCCGCCCGCCGAGGGGCCUGCGUCCGAUUAGCCGGUUGGCGGGGUAGCGGCCCACCAAGGCGUCGAUCGGUAGCUGGUCUGAGAGGGUGAUCAGCCACACCGGGACUGAGACACGGCCCGGACUCCUACGGGAGGCAGCAGUGGGGAAUAUUGGACGAUGGGCGCAAGCCUGAUCCAGCAAUGCCGCGUGGGUGAAGAAGGUCUUCGGAUUGUAAAGCCCUUUCGGCGGGGACGAUGGUGACGGUACCCGCAGAAGAAGCCCCGGCUAACUUCGUG